AUUCUCUGGUUUCUUUUCAUAACGAAUAAGUCUUUCGCCUUUUACUAAAGAUUUCCGUGGAGAGGAACAAUCAUGAGUUUAUAAUUAAAUUUUUUGAUGUUGUGUUUAGGCAGGGCU